AGACUACAAUUUAACGAACGACACACACUUUUGUUAAAUUUUUGAGACUGUUAGAAAAUACUAGAAAUUAUAGAUAAAACGAUAAAACCUACAAGGAAAAAGUUUGUGCAUCUUACAACAGACAUUCUACUAUUUUGGCAGUAGGCCCUUCUGGUCCAGUCGGCCCGGUCGGUCCAGCUUUUCCAGGUUCACCAGGAAGUCCACUUAACCCAACAGCUCCCGGUUCGCCAGUUUCGCCUGAUUGGGUAUUGUUUUUACAGAAUAAAACAUCAGACAUAUAUGUUAAAUUCAUCCAGGCGUCGACUUUUAAAAGCCUUAAGUAAUCAUAAAUUCAAAUUUCUUUUUGAUUAUCACCCUUUUCGCCUGGAGGACCGUUUCUCCCAGGAGUUCCAUCUUUUCCUGGAGAUCCAGUUUCGCCUGUUGGACCUUUCGGUCCAUCUUUUCCUGGAGGUCCUUCUGGCCCUUCCGGCCCUGGAGGUCCCAUCUCUCCGGGGCUUCCUUUUGCUGUCCGGGAGUGCCAUCAUCGCCAUCAUCUCCAUUUUUUCCAUCCAAUCCUGGAGCUCCCACUUUACCUGGAAAUCCUAUUCAAAAUUGCCUAAUUAGAACACGAGUCUAAGCGUAGGGGUAUCGGUUACCGAAAGGAACAAAUUAAAAACGUUAAAAAGUUU